UUACGGCCACAUCACGCUGAAAAACACCUGUUCCUGUACAAUCAAUGAAAUUAAGCAACUUUGUGCUUGGUCACUACCAAGAUGGGUAACCACUUGUGAAUACCAGGUGCUGUAAG